UUCGAUCUGAUCUGGCGAGAUGAAGUGCACAUGGGUAUCCACUGCUCCCGCGGUCAGUAUCUUGCCUUCCCCGCUGAUGACCUCGGUGGAUACGCCGAUGAUGAUUUCCAUGUCCUGUUGGAUGUCGGGGUUUCCCGCAUUUCCAAUCUUCAUGAUGAGGCCAUCUUUCACCGCCACGUCGGCGAUGUAGAUGCCGGUGUAAUCCACAACCAUGAUGUUGGUGAUGAUCAGAUCGGGAAUAUUCUCCGUCGAUGACGGACGGGAGUAUUGCCCCAUGCCGUCGCG
rnacentral:sRNA from 1 species